UGAACGCUAGCGACAGGCUUAACACAUGCAAGUCGAGGGGCAGCGGGGGUAGCGAUACCCGCCGGCGACCGGCGCACGGGUGAGUAACGCGUAUGCAACUUGCCUAUCAGAGGGGGAUAACCCGGCGAAAGUCGGACUAAUACCGCAUGAAGCAGGGGCCCCGCAUGGGGGUAUUUGCUAAAGAUUCAUCGCUGAUAGAUAGGCAUGCGUUCCAUUAGGCAGUUGGCGGGGUAACGGCCCACCAAACCGACGAUGGAUAGGGGUUCUGAGAGGAAGGUCCCCCACAUUGGUACUGAGACACGGACCAAACUCCUACGGGAGGCAGCAGUGAGGAAUAUUGGUCAAUGGCCGAGAGGCUGAACCAGCCAAGUCGCGUGAGGGAUGAAGGUUCUAUGGAUCGUAAACCUCUUUUAUAAGGGAAUAAAGUGCGGGACGUGUCCCGUUUUGUAUGUACCUUAUGAAUAAGGAUCGGCUAACUCCGUGCCAGCAGCCGCGGUAAUACGGAGGAUCCGAGCGUUAUCCGGAUUUAUUGGGUUUAAAGGGUGCGUAGGCGGCCUUUUAAGUCAGCGGUGAAAGUCUGUGGCUCAACCAUAGAAUUGCCGUUGAAACUGGGGGGCUUGAGUAUGUUUGAGGCAGGCGGAAUGCGUGGUGUAGCGGUGAAAUGCUUAGAUAUCACGCAGAACCCCGAUUGCGAAGGCAGCCUGCCAAGCCAUGACUGACGCUGAUGCACGAAAGCGUGGGGAUCAAACAGGAUUAGAUACCCUGGUAGUCCACGCAGUAAACGAUGAUCACUAGCUGUUUGCGAUACAUUGUAAGCGGCACAGCGAAAGCGUUAAGUGAUCCACCUGGGGAGUACGCCGGCAACGGUGAAACUCAAAGGAAUUGACGGGGGCCCGCACAAGCGGAGGAACAUGUGGUUUAAUUCGAUGAUACGCGAGGAACCUUACCCGGGUUUGAACGCAUUCGGACCGAGGUGGAAACACCUUUUCUAGCAAUAGCCGUUUGCGAGGUGCUGCAUGGUUGUCGUCAGCUCGUGCCGUGAGGUGUCGGCUUAAGUGCCAUAACGAGCGCAACCCUUGCCACUAGUUACUAACAGGUAAAGCUGAGGACUCUGGUGGGACUGCCAGCGUAAGCUGCGAGGAAGGCGGGGAUGACGUCAAAUCAGCACGGCCCUUACAUCCGGGGCGACACACGUGUUACAAUGGCGUGGACAAAGGGAAGCCACCUGGCGACAGGGAGCGAAUCCCCAAACCACGUCUCAGUUCGGAUCGGAGUCUGCAACCCGACUCCGUGAAGCUGGAUUCGCUAGUAAUCGCGCAUCAGCCAUGGCGCGGUGAAUACGUUCCCGGGCCUUGUACACACCGCCCGUCAAGCCAUGGGAGUCGGGGGUACCUGAAGUCCGUAACCGAAAGGAUCGGCCUAGGGUAAAACUGGUGACUGGGGC
rnacentral:rRNA from 1 species